AGCCCGAGCAUCCCCGGCCCCGCGGCGCGGCCGCUGCUGCCCCGCGUGGGGCAUUCCCGGGGCAUUCCCGUGGGAUUCCCGUGGGGAGCGGGAGCGGGACAGACCCGGACCCCCGGGGCUCGGGAUGAGGAUGAGGAUGGGGAUGAUGCCGCUCGGAGCAGCGCGGGAGCCGCAGCCCCGGGAGGGUGCCGGAGGUGGAGGUUUUGCCGUUCCUGGAGGGAAUUCCAUCGAUGCCAGGAGCUGCUGGGAUCCCCUUGGAGCUGUCCCUGCCCAGGACUGGCACUUGUCCCCUGCACCAGCCAGGAUUUGUCCCUGGGUUCCCUCUGUCCCUGAGCCUCGCUGGGAUUUGGAUGCUCCCUCCUCUCUGCAGCUGGGAAUGGCACCUGCUCCUCCCAAACCUCCUGGAUUUGUGGAUUUACUGCUCCUGGCAUCGUGCUGCUGGCACUGGGAAUUUCAGAUGUGCAAAAGCUGCACUUGCAGCCUGAGGCUACAAUUCCUUCUUUUUGGGCUACUCUGAGCAUCCUGCCUCUGCAGGAGGAAGGAUUCCAUGCACUGCUGGAGGACAAAUCCUGCUGCUCUGAGGCUCGGGGUGAGGGACAGAGGGGACAUCCAGGACAACCAGAGGGGACAUCCAGGACAGCCAGGACAGAGGAGACAGCCAGGAACAUCCAGGACAGCCAGGACUGCCAGGACAGGACAUCCAGGACAGAGGGGACAUCCAGGACAUCCAGGACAGCCAGGACAGCCAGGACAGGACAUCCAGGACAGAGGGGACAUCCAGGACAGAGGGGACAUCCAGGACAUCCAGGACAGGACAUCCAGGACAGGACAGCCAGGACAGGACAUCCAGGACAGCCAGGACAGAACAGCCAGGACAGAGGGGAUAUCCAUGACAUCCAGGACAUCCAGGACAGGACAUCCAGGACAUCCAUGACAUCCAGGACAGAGGGGACAGCCAGGACAUCCAGGACAGCCAGGACAGGACAGCCAGGACAUCCAGGACAGAGGGGAUCACUCCCGAGGAGGGGACAGGCCCUGACCCUCGGGGGCUCAGGGUGGAACAGCAGGGCUGGCAGAGCUCCCUCCCUCAGCUCCAGAGCCAAAGCUCCAGGUCCCCUGAGCUCCUCCACACAGAACUGACAGGAAUUCACCAGCACCUUUCCAAUUGCUGGGCUUUGGGAAUUAUCCUUUUGGAUCCUGCCCAUGGAUGGAGGAGAGCUCUUGGGUCACACAGGAGCUCAGUGCUUUUCUCUGGCAAGGACUCCUGCCUGGUUUCCAGUGGAAUUUUUUUGUCUUAUUUUAUUUUUCUUUUCUGCUCUUUGGGGGUUUGGGCGUUUCCUGAUGAUGCUGGAGCUGCAUGGAUCCCGUGGUGGGAAGAGCAGGAGCUGAGGUUUCAGAGCUCACCCUGUGCUGGGUGGGCUCAGAGGCUCCUCCUGCCACACCUGGAACAUCCCAGUGGAUCCCAGUGCGUGGGACUGGGAAGCAGAGCAGGAAUGGGGGGAGCCAGUGUCACAAUGAGGGGAAUGUCACCCUCAGAGACAAUUAAAUGGCAUUUAACAAACCCCACUGGCUCAGUGAGUGCUGGAUGCUGUUUUGCCACAUUUCCAGGGGAUUUUGGGGAUUGUCCAGGAAACCUUGAGGAGCCCCUGCCCUAACAGAGCCAGCCCAGGAGUUUCACACCUUUAUUUUGCAGGGAAAUGUCCUUUCCCUCUUCCCUUUCCACCCUUUAACCACCACUGCCAUCCCUCCUGCUCCAAACACUGAAAUUCAAAUUAUUUCCCUUAAAAUACUGUUGUUAAUCCCUGGACUCUGUUCCCUGUAAACACUGGAAGGUGCUGUGUGGAAAUAGAAGAUAAAAGUGAUAUUUGUGUAGUGGAAAUAUCCAUUUAUGAUCAUUAAUAUAUUAGGACUUAAAACAUUAUUUAACAAAAAAAAAAAAAAUAAAUAGAAGAUAAAAGGGAUACUUAUGCAGUGGAAAUAUCCAUUUAUGGUCAUUAUUUUUUCAGGAUUUAGGACAUUAUUUAACAAAAAAAAAAAGGGGUUCUGUUGCAUAAAAAGCAGAGCAUGGAUUCAAAAUGAUUAUUUGGGAGCAGCCAGGGUGGGUGGAAGUUUCUCCCAGGAUUAUUUAGGGGGGAAAAGGUUUCCAAGAUUGAGGUGGAUCCCCAUUAGACCCUGCUGCCACUGUGCCAUCCUUU